rnacentral:rRNA from 1 species
UGGGGAAUAUUGGACAAUGGGCGAAAGCCUGAUCCAGCAAUGCCGCGUGAGUGAUGAAGGCCUUAGGGUUGUAAAGCUCUUUUACCCGGGAUGAUAAUGACAGUACCGGGAGAAUAAGCCCCGGCUAACUCCGUGCCAGCAGCCGCGGUAAUACGGAGGGGGCUAGCGUUGUUCGGAAUUACUGGGCGUAAAGCGCACGUAGGCGGCUUUGUAAGUUAGAGGUGAAAGCCCGGAGCUCAACUCCGGAACUGCCUUUAAGACUGCAUCGCUAGAACGUCGGAGAGGUAAGUGGAAUUCCGAGUGUAGAGGUGAAAUUCGUAGAUAUUCGGAAGAACACCAGUGGCGAAGGCGACUUACUGGACGACUGUUGACGCUGAGGUGCGAAAGCGUGGGGAGCAAACAGG